UGGGGAAUAUUGCACAAUGGGCGCAAGCCUGAUGCAGCCAUGCCGCGUGUGUGAAGAAGCCUCGGUUGUAAAGCAACUUUCAGCGAGGAGGAAGGUGGGUGAGCUUAAUACGCUCAUCAAUUGACGUUACUCGCAGAAGAAGCACCGGCUAACUCCGUGCCAGCAGCCGCGGUAAUACGGAGGGUGCAAGCGUUAAUCGGAAUUACUGGGCGUAAAGCGCACGCAGGCGGUUUGUUAAGUCAGAUGUGAAAUCCCCGGGGCUCAACCUGGGAACUGCAUUUGAAACUGGCAAGCUAGAGUCUCGUAGAGGGGGGUAGAAUUCCAGGUGUAGCGGUGAAAUGCGUAGAGAUCUGGAGGAAUACCGGUGGCGAAGGCGGCCCCCUGGACGAAGACUGACGCUCAGGUGCG
rnacentral:rRNA from 1 species